rnacentral:rRNA from 1 species
GACGAACGCUGGCGGCGUGCUUAACACAUGCAAGUCGAGCGGUAAGGCCCUUUCGGGGGUACACGAGCGGCGAACGGGUGAGUAACACGUGGGUGACCUGCCCUUAGCUCUGGGAUAAGCCUGGGAAACUGGGUCUAAUACCGGAUAUGACUCCAUAACGCAUGUUGUGGGGUGGAAAGCCUUGUGCGGCUAGGGAUGGGCCCGCGGCCUAUCAGCUUGUUGGUGGGGUGAUGGCCACCAAGGCGACGACGGGUAGCCGGCCUGAGAGGGCGACCGGCCACACUGGGACUGAGACACGGCCCAGACUCCUACGGGA